UACGUAGGGGGCGAGCGUUGUCCGGAGUACUGGGCGUAAAGCGCACGCAGGCGGUCUGUUAAGUUUGGAGUGACAGUUGGUGGCUCAACCACCAAAGUGCUUUGAAAACUGAUAGACUUGAGGGCUUCAGAGGGACACGGAAUUCCGGGUGGAGUGGUGAAAUGCGUAGAUAUCUGGAGGAACACCGGUGGCGAAGGCGGCAUCCUGGACCGGCAUUGACGGCUGAGGCGCGAAAAGCCA
rnacentral:rRNA from 1 species